rnacentral:tRNA from 1 species
GUCUUCGUAGUAUAAUUGGAAGCACUUUUGAUUAGCAUUCGAAAGGGCUGGAGUUCGAAUCUCGACGGGGGUA